UACGAAGGGGGCGAGCGUUGUUCGGAUUUACUGGGCGUAAAGGGCGCGCAGGCGGCACAUUUUGUCAGGCGUGAAAGCCCCGGGCUUAACCUGGGAACUGCGUUUGAUACGGAUGGGCUAGAGUUCGGGAGAGGAGAGUGGAAUUCCCAGUGUAGAGGUGAAAUUCGUAGAUAUCUGGAGGAACACCGGUGGCGAAGGCGGCAUCCUGGACCGACACUGACGCUGAGGAGCGAAAGCCAGGGGAGCAAACGGG
rnacentral:rRNA from 1 species